GAUGAACGCUAGCUACAGGCUUAACACAUGCAAGUCGAGGGGCAGCAUGGUCUUAGCUUGCUAAGGCCGAUGGCGACCGGCGCACGGGUGAGUAACACGUAUCCAACCCGCCGUCUACUCUUGGACAGCCUUCUGAAAGGAAGAUUAAUACAAGAUGGCAUCAUGAGUCCGCAUGUUCACAUGUUUAAAGGUAUUCCGGUAGACGAUGGGGAUGCGUUCCAUUAGAUAGUAGGCGGGGUAACGGCCCACCUAGUCUUCGAUGGAUAGGGGUUCUGAGAGGAAGGUCCCCCACAUUGGAACUGAGACACGGUCCAAACUCCUACGGGAGGCAGCAGUGAGGAAUAUUGGUCAAUGGGCGAGAGCCUGAACCAGCCAAGUAGCGUGAAGGAUGACUGCCCUAUGGGUUGUAAACUUCUUUUAUAAAGGAAUAAAGUCGGGUAUGCAUACCCGUUUGCAUGUACUUUAUGAAUAAGGAUCGGCUAACUCCGUGCCAGCCGCCGCAGUAA
rnacentral:rRNA from 1 species